UUACGGCCAUAUCACGUUGAAAUACCGGUUCCCGUACGAUCAAGUAAGUUAAGCAACACCAAGCCUGGUCAGUACCUAGAUGGGUGACCGCAUGGGAAUACCAGAUGCU